AACGAACGCUGGCGGCAGGCUUAACACAUGCAAGUCGAGCGCCCCGCAAGGGGAGCGGCAGACGGGUGAGUAACGCGUGGGAACGUACCCUUUGCUCCGGAAUAGCUCCGGGAAACUGGAAUUAAUACCGUAUGUGCCCUACGGGGGCAAGAUUUAUCGGCAAAGGAUCGGCCCGCGUUGGAUUAGCUAGUUGGUGGGGUAAUGGCCUACCAAGGCGACGAUCCAUAGCUGGUCUGUGAGGAUGAUCAGCCACAUUGGGACUGAGACACGGCCCAAACUCCUACGGGAGGCAGCAGUGGGGAAUAUUGGACAAUGGGCGCAAGCCUGAUCCAGCCAUGCCGCGUGAGUGAUGAAGGCCUUAGGGUUAUAAAGCUCUUUCACCGGAGAAGAUAAUGACGGUAUCCGGAGAAGAAGCCCCGGCUAACUUCGUGCCAGCCGCCGCCGUAAUAC
rnacentral:rRNA from 1 species